CAGCCGCCGCGGGAAAACGUAGGGUCCGAGCGUUGUCCGGAAUUAUUGGGCGUAAAGAGCUCGUAGGCGGUCUGUCGCGUCUGCCGUGAAAUCCUCAGGCUCAACCUGAGGCGUGCGGUGGGUACGGGCAGGCUAGAGUGCGGUAGGGGAGAAUGGAACUCCUGGUGUAGCGGUGGAAUGCGCAGAUAUCAGGAAGAACACCGAUGGCGAAGGCAGUUCUCUGGGCCGUAACUGACGCUGAGGAGCGAAAGCGUGGGGAGCGAACAGGAUUAGAUACCCCGGUAGUCCCUGUCUCUUAUAC
rnacentral:rRNA from 1 species